rnacentral:lncRNA from 11 species
GGCAUUUUCAUGAGAAGCCAUUCUUCCCUGACCACAAUUAGCUUCAUCUGGGGGUGCUUCCCAGCAUUUGCACAUUAACACCAAAUGUGGAGUGUUAGAGAGUGAGUUGGAAGAACCAAUUGUGACUUUCAAACAAGUCCAUGCACUACAGCCUAAUUUUCAUGCUUAAAUGUAAACAAAAUAAAAUGUCAAUAUGUCAACACUGGAGCUAACUGGGUUGUGCUUACUGGUUCAAAACAAAGACUUACUUAAAAUGAUAAAUACAUCAAAAGUAUAGUAGCACUUUGUGGUAGAUGUCCCAAACUCUGUCUUUUUAAGGAGCUUGCAAAACUUUGCCUACAGCAUUUAACAUCUUAAGACCUGAAGCCAUUGCAGGAAUUUUUUUACAAAUGUCAGAACAACAGUGUGCAAAAGUAGCUUCUGCAUCAUGCUGUAUAUUAAAUAUAGGAUUCUGGUGUCUUUUCUGCAGGCAGAUCAUGAAAAAUUCAUGAAAGAGGGUGAUACAUUCAAACUGAGUCAGAUGCGGGGGCAGCUAAGCCAAUCCCUGAGCAGCUUGCAGCAGGAAAUGAAGGACACGCUCAGGCAAAAUGAAAACCUGCAGGCCCAGAUUGCAAAUAUGGAAGAAACCCAUGCCCAACGACUGGCAGAGCUAAGGUCCCGGCAUCAGCUUGACAUGGAGCUGGAAGUAGAGAGGCUGCGUAGCGCUCAGCUCCAAGCAGAACGGAUGCUGGAGUCCCGCGAGAGAACCCAUCGGCAGAGAGUGAAAGGCUUGGAGGAACAGGUGAAUGCUCUGAAGGCCCAACUGGAUCAAGAAGUGAGGAGAAGGCAGGCAUACCUGAGCCAGAUGUUUCACACUGUGAAAUGAUUCAAAACCAGAUACUGUGCUCUGGUUUGGGAUGAUCCAGCACAGAUACACCAGAUGGAUCCUUUCCAGCUCAGGAACUUGAUUUAUUAGCCUUUUGGGUUACAGCACUCAAAGGAAACCAGGGCUCCAGAACUAGCUAUUGUAUCAAGUUAUGAUAUCCCACCCCAUUCAAAUAACACAUAUCCCAAAUACUUGGAAGACACGGUAAAGACAGCAAAUGACUAGGCAGUGUGCUGCCAAGAGGAAACCCUGCUGCGGGGGCAGCUGUUCUCUCUAAAAUGCUUGCAAACCAGGGCAUGGAUGCUUAACUAAUUAAUUUAGCAGAUUUGACAAGGAGGGGAUUCUCAGUUGCUUGCGUCUCUUGUGUAUCCCCGCAUGAUCUCUGUAAAGUCCUACAUCCAGGCUGUACAGACUGUAACAUUCUGCAGACCCGAGAGGAGCACCUCAUAUUGAAAUACCUCUGCAUUUCCGUCACUCACCAAGCUCCUUUAUUUUCCCUCAGGGCAUGUCGAAUACUUUCUGGUGCAUAGUGCAAUAUCAUAGCUAUACCCCUUCAUGUGAUGAGACACAUAAUCAUUAUAGGUGUUCCAUCACUGUCUUUACUAUUAUACACAUCAUAUCCCAUGCCCUCCUAGAAACAAAGGAGGCAGGUAUUUCUUCUGGCAUCAGAACUGCAUUAUGCACUAGGCAGAGAUGUUAGGAAUCAGAAUGUGACCAUGCCCAGGGAUUGAUCAAAAUCCUUUGCUGUGUCUAGGAACAUUGAGCCAUUUUCAUGGUGGCAGGUGGCUGAGAUUAACUCAAAGCCAAGUCAUCUUAUGACUUGCUGGCCCCAAGACAUGUCAGAGUGUUAACAUUCAGCAUUCCACCCACUCUGCCGGCUAACCGGCUCCAAGGAAAUCCCUUUAGGAAUCAAACUUUGGUUUCCUUGGUGAUGACAGGGAACCAUCUUGGAGUUCCUGUGAACAUCACCUGUUAGCAUUGUUCCACAUUUUUUCCUUGUGAAUGUUUGUUUUUCUGAACAUGUACUGCAGAUUAGUCAACAACAUUUCUUAAUGAUACUCAGGAGGAGAAUUUCAACUACAUUAACGUACAAACACUGUACAAAUCUUCAGUUUUUGAUAUGUAGUCCUGAAACUUGUAUGAUGUCUAGUAACAAAAGAAUUUUAUAAACCUUCAAUAAAUGGUGGGUUUUUUUUAGUAUAACCUUGGGUGCUAAGUGAGGCUAAGAUUUGGUGUAUCAGAUGAAGAGUACUCCAGUCCACAAACGUUUUUUGUACAAUAAACCUGUUACUGUUCAACAUGCCACAGGGCUGUUACUUUUUCAAGGGUACUGCUACUCCCCUUAGAGAAAUUGUACAUCUAAAUGUCACCAAAUCCAUCCCUUUCAAUUGUGGCAUAAAGACUGAAUGCUUGAAUACACCCUCAGGCAAUGUAGCUCAUAUCGUGUGCUCUAGCUACCCUCCUCAGCUUGGGAAAAGCUGCUGUAUACUGCACAUCUAAAUACAUUUCAGACUGACUGAACCAUCAUGACUCUCAACCAUAGAACUGGGAAGCUUGAACAGUGUAAA